GGCGGCACGGUGUCCCCGAAACUACACGGGCGGCGCGUGCGCGGCGCCAGCACAUUUUGGGGGACAAGAGGCGGUGAUGCGCACGGGGGCCCCACAGAAAUCGGGUCGGGCCGUCCCCGCGGCAGGACCCGUGACCCUGGCGAGAGCUGGAAACGCCGGUCGUGCACCGGAAGGGGCCGGGCAGGGUGGCCCGGGGCCGCAGCACGGAGGAGUGGUUCACGUGGAACUCGAGCGAGGAAAGAUUUGGGACCAGGAGUGCGGCCUUCCCUUUUGGACAAUGCUCCCAAGGCCUUAUCGGCUCAGACUUUCCUUCCUGCCCUAGUUCCCUCACCACACAGCAAGCAUCUGUGACGUCAGCGCCGGGGCUGCAGGGCCAACAAGAAGUGGUUUGUGUUGCUGUGGCCGUUCGGUUCCAGCGAGGGAGCCAAGCAAACGUGGAAGAGCAUUCUCAGUGCUGAGAGGGACUAGAAGGGAAGAACAUGGGGUUUAGACAGUGACUGGGGAAUGAAGGUGGGCAGGAGGGAAGGGGACAUUUGAACUGUCGCUCCAUACGGAUGCAACCCUGAGAGGACCUGACAGACAGUGCCAGGCAGAAGAUGACCUGGGAGCUACCUGAGUCAAUGUCACCCAUCUGGGCAAGUCCUUCAGGCAGGAGAAGCCACUGUGGAGAGCUGGCCUUCUCUGAGCAAGACUUGCCCAUUCAGCAAGCACUUUUUGGCCUCCACCGUGCUGAUGGAGUGGCAGAGAAUAAAAGAAAGAGAAGACAAUGAAGCCAAUGUAGCUGAGAAGGAGCAUUUCUGAAAUUGGAAGCUCUCCCCUACACCAAACAUGCAAUAGAGGAAGUGAAAAUUUGGCCUGAAAACUCCAGUUUGAAGAAGG